AAGAAAUGAGUUGCUUGCUACAAG
rnacentral:siRNA from 1 species